CUAGAGUCUCGAAGCCUCCAAACCAAUAAUGUUGAGAGUCUAAAUCUCAGCCAUUGGAUGGGAUCAACGGUCCACAGUAGGCCAAAAGAAGCACAACUCGUGUGAUUGAGUAUCAGCCAAUGUAUGAGUGCCAACUGUCCAAACGGGUACAAGUGAGAUAAAAAUGCAUUUCCACUUAUAAAAGUGUGGUUUGAGAAACACAACUUCACAAUUCUGCACCUUGGUUCUCAAACCAUAUACAUACUCUCUUGUUGCUAUAAUGCAAGUGACGACACCAUACCCUACAUCGUCGUCCAAGUAUUUGCACAGAAAAAUUAACCUGUAUCACUAUUAAGCAGUGAUAAACAAGAUCUAAAUUUAUUAAUAGGCAGUAUUUUAGUGCCCAUAUCAACAGGGUAAAAGUCAGUAUGAAUUUUCUCAAAAUAAGUACAUAAAAAAUGAAUAGUAAAUAAGUAAUAUUUAUGAGUUCUUCAAUAUACGUGGAUAAAAAGUGAUUUGAUGGUUUAUAAAUGAUAGCCAAACAAGGGCUAUUGCUCAUAAAUAGUUGCUCAAGACCUCCUAGAUAGUUAUAGAGAUCUCUAGAGGCACUUGAAAGAGUGGAAUAAAUGUGAGACGUCUUGAUAAUAAAGACUAGUCAUGGGUGAAUUGAAGAAAGAAAAAGUGUGCAAGAAAAGCAAUGCAAAAUUUAAUAUCGAGUAUAUAAAUAGUUCUUCGUCAUUUUAAUUUGCUUGCCUUGAUAGAUUGAUUGGUAAUACGGUGAAAAGAAAGGAUAGGUAUUAUGUUUGGGUGACUUUCAAAAAGCAAAGGAUAACCCUAUCUUUAUUCCAUAUCCCUUUCUUAUUUGUAUUCUUAUUGCAAGUUGCAGGUUAUAAGUUCCAAAAUAUUCUUCAGAAUUCCUUGUAUACAAUCCCAACGAAAAAUUGUGCCUUUUGUCCUCAACCUUUACCGCAUCUUUGAAAUUCAUCCUCAUCCUUGAUAUUCGAACUUUUAAAUCUCCACAUUCUCCGCCUACGACAAACUAUUUUCAACAUUUACCAUAAUCCUUCACAUAAUUUUGAGUUUCCUUUGUCGUUUCCAUGUAUGCUAUAUUUUGCAAACGCUUAUGUACAAUUUUGUUUCUUUAAAGUUUAUGUUGUUUGUUUUAUUUGAUUUUGCACAAGCAUUGUGAAUUUUUAAGUUGGCUUAAACACAAUCUCGAUGCUUGACCUUUGACCCUGUGGCUCCUUCGGAUUUGAGCGUGGAUUGGAAUAUUUGUCAAGUUUCUUUUGUCAAACAUAAGCAAGAAGGAAAAAAUAGAAGUCAAUAAAAGGGAAACACUUAUAAUUGAGGGAAAAAUGAUUAAAAAAGGGCAAUAGUAUUCCAAUAUUUUACGACUUGUGAUCAAUAAGGAAUAAUGGUCUCAAAACAGUGCACACCAUCCAACUCCGGCGCGAACCUUGGUCUCCUCGCCGGCAGGCGACCUUCCGAUUUCUUGGUUUGUGACGAGUCGUUUACUUCUUUGCCCUUCUUAACCUCAUGAAAUUUCUCAGAUAUCCAUUGACUUUGCACUCCCUUAUUAGAAGAGGAAGCCCAAGAAAAGACAACUUUCUGUCCAACAGACUCUGCACAGAGUGCAUCAAAAGAACUGAAAAUUGACAUCAACAUAGCUCUUGUUUGAUUCCAAGAUUGGAGAAAUUUUAACUUAUGAGCUGCUUUUUUUUGCGUUGCUUUGAUUUUUGGAGAAUUGAUCUUGAUUCUUGAUUAUGAAGAAAAUGGUAUUUAUAGAGGGAAAAAUCUGGAAGUUGAAGCGUUGACGGUGAAGGAAGUUUCUACGUUGUUGAUUAGGCCAAUUGGCAUUAUUCCUAAGUUUGGCAGGAUGAUCAAGAUUCGGAUGAAGACUGGUCAAAUACCUAUUUUUCAAAAUUUCUUUCUGAAUUUUCUGGAAGUUACCUAAAACUUAACGAGCAUACAUGACUGGGUCAAACGUGGCAUGUUGUGGUUGGUCAAACUGACGGUUGACAUUAGUUGUAACUAGUAAAUAAAUUACCCUUGAUUGUUUCUCAUUCUUUUCACAUUAAAAUGAAAAAUAUGAUCAUUGUUCAUUAUAUCAAGUCACUGUAUUUAAAUUUCUAUUUUUUUUGUGAGAUUCGUAACGGCUAUAUUUUUCAUUUUCAUUUUUACGUAAAU
rnacentral:lncRNA from 1 species